rnacentral:rRNA from 1 species
UACGAAGGGGGGCUAGCGUUGCUCGGAAUCACUGGGCGUAAAGCGCACGUAGGCGGAUUGCUAAGUCAGGGGGUGAAAUCCUGGAGCUCAACUCCAGAACUGCCUUUGAUACUGGCGACCUUGAGUCCGGGGAGAGGUGAGUGGAACUGCGGGGGUGUAGAGGUGAAAAUUCGUAGAUAUUCGCAAGAACACCAGUGGCGAAGGCGGCUCACUGGCCCGGUUACUGGACGC